UACGUAGGGUGCGAGCGUUAAUCGGAAUUACUGGGCGUAAAGCGUGCGCAGGCGGUUAUAUAAGACAGAUGUGAAAUCCCCGGGCUCAACCUGGGAACUGCAUUUGUGACUGUAGAGCUGGAGUGCGGCAGAGGGGGAUGGAAUUCCGCGUGUAGCAGUGAAAUGCGUAGAUAUGCGGAGGAACACCGAUGGCGAAGGCAAUCCCCUGGGCCUGCACUGACGCUCAUGCACGAAAGCGUGGGGAGCAAACAGG
rnacentral:rRNA from 1 species